UACAGAGGGGCAAGCGUUGUUCGGAAUUACUGGGCGUAAAGGGCGCGUAGGCGGCCUUCUAAGUCGAACGUGAAAUCCCUGGGCUCAACCCAGGAACUGCGUCCGAUACUGGAAGGCUUGAAUCCGGGAGAGGGAUGCGGAAUUCCAGGUGUAGCGGUGAAAUGCGUAGAUAUCUGGAGGAACACCGGUGGCGAAGGCGGCAUCCUGGACCGGUAUUGACGCUGAGGCGCGAAAGCCAGGGAGCAACGGG
rnacentral:rRNA from 1 species